ACAAUCACUGAAUAUCAACCACCUCAAAUAGGAGGACACUUUGAUUCCCACCAUGGAUGAAUGGCUGCAGAAGCUGAUGGAGUUGGCAGCGAUGGCUAAACUGACCGCUUUGAUCAAAGAAAAGAAUAUACUAAAUAUCAAGCCUGAAGCUGAAGCUCAAAUACUUUGGCCACGGAAUGAGGAGACUUCUUGGAGAAGACCCAGAUGUUAGGAAAGAUGGAAGGAAACAGCUCCAAAUUAUGGAUGGGCAGCUGUGGAUAACAGUAAGGACCAUCAUCUGGAACUCUCCCAGAUACACCAACUAAAACUGAUGAAAAAUCCUGAAGCACAGGGUAACAAGUGUCCAAUUGUCCUUUGGAAAACAUACAAGGUUUCACAUUUGUGUCUGUGAGUUACACAUCCUACCCCACUCCCAGAAGUGGGGUGAACUUUUUUUUUUAAAAAAGCCCUACCACCAUUAAACAAUGGAAAACAAAGCAAAAACUAGCCCAUCCCCUUUUCAAUUUAUGGAUAUAAAUUAUGGCAGUCCAGGUAGAUCUGUCCUGGAGAGGAAAUAUAGGGAAAAUGAGAUGGGUGCCAUCAAAACUACAACCCAUCUUCUUCUGUAUUGUCAGUUCUACAGAGACAUUUGUGGACUAGUCUUCUUUUAUUUAAAUUUUUUGGCACACUCCUAAUACUUUACUUGGCACUAUCAGUGAAACAAUCAAGAUAAAUUUAUUUUUUUCUAAAAGUAGGAAAAUUUGACUAUGUAACGUGUAAGCGUCACCCAUUUUAUCAUCUGACAAAAAUUAACGAUAAAAAAUGCAAUAAACAUAAAUUAUAAAAAUAACAAUUAAAAUCAUAAAUAAGAAAACAAAAAACAAAUAAAUUCAAACCUCAG